CAGCAGCAGCAGUGGCAAGCACUGAGAUUGAGCAGGAUGGAGUGGCCUGGCCAAGCCGUGGCCCCACUGGCAGGAGCUGCAGAGUGGACAGCAGAGGGAACACAGCUUGGUGGUGAAGGUGCUGUUCUCCUGAAAGAGGAUCCUGGCAAAAACAUGGCUUGGUGCCGGGGACGGCACGCCGAAGGCAAGAAAUACACCAGAACUGGUUCAGCUUGGGGAACACAAGUUGAAGGAGCCGUGGCACAGGGCGCUCACAAGUGUGAGGUGUAGAUGCUUUCAGGGAAGAUGAGGGUGGAACCCUUCGGCUGUGCAUGACAGCGGCAGACACUUGAAUGGAGGCUCCUCGUGUUUGCAGCCUGGUCACACGAGUGACUGAGACCCGAAAUCUCCCUGACAUCCUCUCUGGAUGCUUGGCCUUGGAACAGCCUCAUUCAUGCCACACCUGCUCCCUUCCGUUUGUGGAGCCUUCUAUGCUGCACUGGACACUGGAAAAGCACUUGGAGAUGGCUGGAGAAGGAAGGGGACAUCCUGUAAAAUGGUCUCUAAACCAGGCCCUUCCCUGUGCCAUGGCUUUUCUGGGGCUCAUUAAUAUCAGUGGUUCCUGCUGGAAGAACUCUGUCACCUUCCCUGAGGCAGCAGAGCUGAGGCCAGACGUGGUGUGCGCUGCUUGUGCAUCAGACAUGAGUAAUAACAAGUUUGGAGGAACUGUAUACCACUUAAUAAAAGCAUUUUAUUACAUUUAAAUGUAUUAAAAUGUGAACAUUAAAUUCAACGCGCUAAUUACCGCUCCCAGGCAUUGCCGCUGACAGGAAAUGGAUCCUCACAAUUGCUCUGCUGAGAUCACUCACUGCUGUUACUGCUCUUUGGUUCCUGGUGUGUUAUUAGUGCUCUGCAUUUGGGACUUGAGUCAUUAACAAAAAGGACUGGUGUUGGGCAUUAUGUAAAUUCUGUAUGUUUUCACACAGCUACCGGGGCCUGUGUUAUGUGUCUCAUUGACAAAAAAAAAAGCAAAUGCAUUUGGCUCUGCCCUGGCUUGUGGGCGAGGGAUCUCAGGGGUCACCCAGACACAGAGAGGGAAAACCUCUUCAUAACACAUCUCUGUGUUUCUGCAAAUCCCUUUCCAGGGCAAUUUGUGUCCCCCCUACCCCACUUGCUGCAUGUGCCAUGACACCCUGCAACGAACACCAACAAUUCCUGCUCUGAAGGAGUUUCCCACUUUUCUGGGAGCCAGGGGCUUCCCAUUCCUGCAGCAGGCAUGCACAGCACAUGGAUCCAUUGCCCUGGAAAACUGGGAAAGCCUGCCAGGGGUCUCUGGUAGGUGAGAGGCCUGUGGCCAAGUGCUCAGCUCCGUGAGGCCAAGCCCACAUGUUCUGGGAUAUGGUUACUUCCCAGAGGAAAGGGGGAUGCUAGAGGACACGUGGCUGCCUCCCUAAAUGAAAAAGAGUGUAAAGCUGUUCAGAUUAGUGCACAUCAAUCCCUGCACUGGAAUCAAGAGAUGCUUUGGUUUGGCAGCACUGGGGACAAAGCCACCAUUUCGUUCAAAGUGUACUUAAUGCGACAGAAGGAGGCAGCUUCCUUUGACAGUUUUACAGCUCUUAUCAGAUUAUAUCAAAAUUAAAUUAAAACAAUCUAAAAGAAGUGUGAAGUACUGCAGGGAGAACACAAAUAAAACACUCCUCUUUGUAGGCUUUCA
ensembl:lncRNA